ensembl:lncRNA
GUGAUGUUGUUGUAUUAUCACAUAAUUCUAUAAAAAAAAGGGUAGCCAAUGUAGUUAUUCAACACCUUGAAACAGCGCAUGUCUCUGCAGUACCUGUACAGAUAAAUUCUAGUUCUGACAUAAAAAAGGAGUUUGGUAAUAACAAAAUAGAUGGCACUAGUAACGAAACAUAUUGUUAUGAUGACAAAAAACAACAACGGGUGAGUAACAAAGAAGAGUGCAAUAACAGCAAAAGUGCGAACACAAAUUCAAAUCUGAAAAUGCUCCAAAUAAAUAAGAAUAAAUUAAUCAAACAAGAAAUAAAAAAAUAUUGUAAAUAUAAUUACUAUUUCGAAAUAAAUAGAUAUUUUUUAAAAAGUUUAAGACGGUUUGAUAUUUCUAUUACGAAAAAUGAAAAAAAAAAUCCUUUAUAUAUACCUGAACCAAGUAUUAAAGUGUUAGUAAAAAGCAAUUAUAAUCUUUAUAUAUUUAUUUCGAGUAUGCUUUUUGGAAAUGAUAAACAGGAAAACGAAAUGAUCAACAAUCAGUUUCAUUUAUCAUUAAAAAAAAAAAAUCAAACAGCCAUGAACAAAAAUGAUAAUGAUCUUCUUCAUAGUUCUACAUAUAGCGAUAAGCAAACAGAUGGAUAUAAUGAAGGUAAAGGAGAGUGCGGGGAAGGGAAUACAUGCAGAUAUAAUGGAUACCAUAGCAAAGACAGUGACCCCAUUAUGAAUCACAUAGAAACAUUGUUAAGUCGCAAAAUAAAAGAAUAUAUUAAUAAAAAUUAUAAAAAAAAAAAACGUGUACGGGUUAGGAAAUUGUGUAUACAUUAUGAUGAAAAUUUAGAUUUAUUUGUUUAUUCUGCUCUUAGUAAAGAUUUAAUCAUUCAUAAUAUAAUUAUUCAAAUGUACAACAAAAAAGAAAAUAAAAAUUUGCAUCUUAAAUUUAGUAAGGGUAUAUAUAAAAUAAAGCCUGGGUUAAAUUUAAUAAAACUUAAUAUUGUUGAUAUUCUUGAAAAUAGUGAAAUAAAUUGGCAAUAUUUUUAUUAUAAAAUAAAAUAUAUUUUUUUAGUAGCUAAUAAUUUUUGUUUUUAUCAAAAAAUAGGUAUAUUACCAUAUAAACAAAUAUUAAAUGUUUUUUUAAAUGCUUAUAGUAAUUUUAUAAUACAUAAUUCUAUAGUAAUUGAUACAAAAAAACAUGCCAGUUUUUUUUUUAAUCAACUUAUUGUUCCGAUUUAUAUUAAAAUAAAAACAUUAAAUUCGAUAUUCAAUUGUACGAUUAAGCCUUCUCUUCUUAACUCAACUUGUUUAUUAUAUAAUAAUGUUAAUUAUAUUGAACUCACAAUAAAAAAAAAUCCUAAAUAUUUUAUUUUUACCAAGUUAAAACCUGAAUUGAUGAGUACGAACAAAAUGGACACAAAAAUUUUUGUCAAAGUUGAAAAUGAUUUAUUUUGCAACAAUGCAAAAUGUGUCGAUGCAUAUACAGCUGCUAGUGGUGGUAGCGAAAACAACGACACUCGCACUUGUACAUACAUGUUUAAUAAAAAUUUCGACACUUUAAUAGAUUCCAUAUUCUUUUACUUUGAAAAAAGCGAUGAUAUUAAAAUAGAUCAAGUAGUAGCUUUAAAUGAAAAAGAAAUUGGCUAUAUACACAACGAAACUAAUAAUACUAGCUUUUCUUUGGUAAGUAAACAUACUAAUGAAAAUGAGAGAUAUAAUUUGAAUAUAAAACCUAUUGAAAUGAAUGAUAUAGAUGAAACAAACUCACAUGAAUUGUUAAAAAAUGUUCAUGUAAUUAUAUCGUUUUUGUUAAAAAAAAUAAAUGAUAAAAUGGAAGGUAAAGUGGGUAACGAACAAUAUAAGAAAAGUUGCAACUACUACAAUACGUAUUCUCAAGAUGAUUGUAACAAAAUAAAAAUAAAAUGUGUAAUUAAUAUGAAUCUACACAAUAAACAAAGAAAAAAAAGAAGAACCGAUUUAUUUAUACUAUCACAAGUUAAUUAUGUAGGGAAUAUGAAGUUUGUUAAUUUUAUUACCAACCCAUCUGAACAAAAAACAAACCACUUUUUAAAUAAUCAGAUAAUAAUAGAAAAAGAAUUUAAUGUGAUAAAUAUUUUUAAAGAAAAAAUAAAUACAUACAGAUCAAAUAAUGGAAUGUUAUAUGAAUUGAUAUUAAAAUUACAUUAUGAUAAUUAUUCAAUAUUUUUAAACAAAAUUUAUAUAUCUAUUUUAAAACAGUGUAUCUCACAAAUAAAAAAUGUUAAAAUUUUUGCUGUAAAUAAUAAUGAAGAAAAAGAAGAAAAUCAAAAAACAAAUUUUGUUAAAAAUGAAACAGACUAUUUGCUUUAUGGAACACAAUGUGAUGUGUAUGAAACAGGGGUUGAUGAUAAUGACGAUGUUGAGGUUAAUAUAGUACGUAAAACUGACACAAGUGUAUUAAAUGUGUCGGACAAAAAGGCGUUAGUAAACGACUUAACAAAGCUGAAUGAUGAUGCUAACGAUUCUUAUAAAAAGCAAAACGAUUUAUCAAAUAUGCUUUGUAAAAGCGAAAUAGAAAAAAAUAAUAUAUGUUUUCCUAUUGCAAAUGAAAUGGACAAGUCAAACGGCUAUAAUAUAAGCGAUAUAAAAUAUGUCCAUAUGUUUGAUAAGAGAAAAAAUGAGAACACUAUUAAUAAAUGUAAUGUACGUAACGAAGAAAAGUAUAUUUAUAACGAAGUUAAUAUUAAUAGUUGGAUUAAAAGUGGGGCUAACUUUUUUUUACUUUUUGAAAUUGAAUAUAAUGAUUUAUUUCAAAAAGAUGAACAAACAACUAGCUUUAAGUUACUAAAUUAUGAAAACACAUUUGCAAAUAUAAACAUAACUUAUGAAUAUAAAAAUGGGAACAUGUUGAAUUUGUAUAAAGAAAAAGAGAAAGGGAGAGAACUAGAAAAUGUAAAAGCAAGUACAAAAACAAAUGAAAAUGAAUAUACAUACAUUCAUAAUCUUUUAGUACCCGUACCUCAGUUUUUACUACCUAUAAAUGUACACUAUGAUAUACCAAAACAUGGGCUUCUUCAUUCAACUAUUAGUAUAAAAAUAAAAAUAACAAAUUGUAUUAAUGAAAAUAU